GACGAACGCUGGCGGCGUGCUUAACACAUGCAAGUCGAACGAAGUGGCGAACGGGUGAGUAACGCGUAAACAACCUGCCCUUCAAAGGGGGACAACAGUUGGAAACGACUGCUAAUACCGCAUACGGAAGGAGGGGAUUGCGUGUGAUUAGGUAGUGGGAGGGGUAACGGCCCACAAAUGCGAUGAUCAGUAGACUGGCUGAGAGGAUGAACGUCGACAUUGGGACUGACACACGGCCCAGACUCAUACGGGAGGAAGCAGUGGGGGAUAUUGCACGAUGGGCGAAAGCCUGAUGCAGCGACGCCGCGUGGGGGAUGUAGGCUUUCGGGUUGUAAACGUCUUUCGAUAUCGAACGGGUAGGUGGAGAAGAAGCGCCGGCUAACUACGUGCCAGCAGCCGCGGUAAUUC
rnacentral:rRNA from 1 species